rnacentral:rRNA from 1 species
GAGUUUGAUCCUGGCUCAGAACGUACGCUGGCGGCACGCCUAACACAUGCAAGUCGAACGAAGUAGCAAUACUUAGUGGCAGACGGGUGAGUAACAUGUAGGUAUCUACCCUUUGACCUGGAAUAACACGAGGAAACUUGUGCUAAUACCGGAUAAGUCUUUACGGAGAAAGCUUUAUGCACCAUUGGAUGAGCCUGCACUUGAUUAGUUUGUUGGUGGGGUAAUGGCCUACCAAGACUGUGAUCAAUAGCUGAUUUGAGAGGACGAUCAGCCACAUUGGGACUGAGACACGGCCCAAACUCCUACGGGAGGCAGCAGUGGGGAAUCUUGCACAAUGGAGGAAACUCUGAUGCAGCGAUGCCGCGUGAGUGAAGAAGGCCUUUGGGUUGUAAAGCUCUUUCGUCGGGGAAGAAAAUGACUGUACCCGAAUAAGAAGGUCCGGCUAACUUCGUGCCAGCAGCCGCGGUAAUACGAAGGGACCUAGCGUAGUUCGGAAUUACUGGGCUUAAAGAGUUCGUAGGUGGUUGAAAAAGUUGGUGGUGAAAUCCCAGAGCUCAACUCUGGAACUGCCAUCAAAACUUUUCAGCUAGAGUUUGAUAGAGGAAAGCAGAAUUUCUAGUGUAGAGGUGAAAUUCGUAGAUAUUAGAAAGAAUACCAAUUGCGAAGGCAGCUUUCUGGAUCAUUACUGACACUGAGGAACGAAAGCAUGGGUAGCGAAGAGGAUUAGAUACCCUCGUAGUCCAUGCCGUAAACGAUGUGUGUUAGACGUUGGAAAUUUAUUUUCAGUGUCGCAGCGAAAGCGAUAAACACACCGCCUGGGGAGUACGACCGCAAGGUUAAAACUCAAAUGAAUUGACGGGGACCCGCACAAGUAGUGGAGCAUGUGGUUUAAUUCGAAGAUACGCGCAGAACCUUACCAACACUUGACAUGUUCGUCGCGACUCUAAGAGAUUAGAGUUUUCGGUUCGGCCGGACGAAACACAGGUGCUGCAUGGCUGUCGUCAGCUCGUGUCGUGAGAUGUUGGGUUAAGUCCCGCAACGAGCGCAACUCUCACUUUUAGUUGCCAUCAUUUAGUUGGGCACUCUGAAAGAACUACCAGUGAUAAGCUGGAGGAAGGUGGGGAUGACGUCAAGUCCUCAUGGCCCUUACGUGUUGGGCUACACACGUGCUACAAUGGUAUCUACAACAGGAAGCAAGACGGCGACGUUAAGCAAAUCCUUAAAAGAUACCUCAGUUCGGAUUGCACUCUGCAACUCGAGUGCAUGAAGCUGGAAUUACUAGUAAUCGUGGAUCAGCGUGCCACGGUGAAUGCGUUCCCGGGUCUUGUACACACCGCCCGUCACACCAUGGGAGUUGGUUCUACCUUAAGGCAAGGUUUAAAACCCUUGACCACGGUAUAGUCAGCGACUGGGGUGAAGUCGUAACAAGGUAACC